rnacentral:rRNA from 1 species
GUCUUUUUGUUUAAAAUUUAAAGUUUGGCCUGCCCMUUGAAAUUUAAAAGGCUGCAGUAUUUUGACUGUACUAAGGUAGCAUAAUCAUUAGUUUCUUAAUUAGAAGCUGGAAUGAAUGGUUGGAUGAAAAAAUAACUGUUUCAAUUUUAAUUAUUAAAUUUUAUCUUUAAGUUAAAAAGCUUAAAUUUUUUAAAAAGACGAGAAGACCCUAUAGAGUUUUAUAAUAUAAAAUAAUUAUUAUUUUUAGUAAUUUAAAUAUAAAUAUUUUUUUUUAUUUGGUUGGGGUGAUUUAAAAAUUUAUUUAACUUUUUUUUUAAUUAAUCAUAAAUUUAUGAAUAAAUGAUCCUUAUAUAAAGAUUGAAAGAUUAAAUUACCUUAGGGAUAACAGCGUAAUUUUUUUUUAGAGUUCAAAUCGAAAAAAAAGUUUGCGACCUCGAUGUUGGAUUAAAAUUAAUUUUUGGUGGAGAAAUUAAAAAAUUAAGUCUGUUCGACUUUUAAAAUUUUACAU